UGGCGGACGGGUGAGUAACGCGUGGAAAACCUGCCGUAUACUGGGGGAUAACACUUAGAAAUAGGUGCUAAUACCGCAUAAGCGCACAGCUUCGCAUGAAGCGGUGUGAAAAACUCUGGUGGUAUACGAUGGUUCCGCGCCUGAUUAGCUAGUUGGUGGGGUAAUGGCCUACCAAGGCAACGAUCAGUAGCCGGCCUGAGAGGGUGAACGGCCACAUUGGGACUGAGACACGGCCCAAACUCCUACGGGAGGCAGCAG
rnacentral:rRNA from 1 species